AAGGCUUUAGUUUAACAAAAACAUUUGAUUUGCAAUUAGAAAAUGCAAGAUAAAGUCCUGCAAGUCUUA
rnacentral:tRNA from 1 species